rnacentral:rRNA from 1 species
GAACGAAUAUUCCGCAAUGGGCGAAAGCCUGACGGAGCAAUGCCGCGUGUGGGAUGAAUCGGCUACGCCGUGUAAACCACUGUCAGGGUGUAGGAACACUGACCGCACCCAAAGGAAGGGCCGGCUAACCUCGUGCCAGCAGCCGCGGUAAUACGAGGGGCCCGAGCGUUACUCGGAAUCACUGGGCUUAAAGCGUACGCAGGCGGACUGGUAGGCAUUUUGUGAAAACCCACGGCUCAACCGUGGAACAGCAGAGUGAACCAUCAGUCUUGAGGCAGGUAGGGGUCGAUGGAACCAUGAGUGGAGCGGUGAAAUGCGUAGAUAUUCAUGGGAACGCCAAUGGCGAAGGCAAUCGACUGGGCCUGUCCUGACGCUCAGGUACGAAAGCGUGGGGAGCAAACAGGAUUAGAUACCCUGGUAGUCCACGCCGUAAACGAUGUGCACUAGAUCGGGGAGGCUCUCACGCCCUCCCGGUCGAAGGAAAACCGUUAAGUGCACCGCCUGGGGAGUACGGUCGCAAGGCUA